GGAGGAAAAGAAACUAACAAGGAUUCCCUUAGUAACUGCGAGUGAAGAGGGAAAAGCUCAAAUUUAAAAUCUGGCAGCAUUUUGUUGUCCGAGUUGUAACCUAGAGAAGUGUAACCUGUGCUGGACCGUGUAUAAGUUUCCUGGAAUGGAGCAUCACAGAGGGUGAGAAUCCCGUCUUUGACAUGGACUACCAGUGCAUUGUGGUUGUGCUCUCAACGAGUCGAGUUGUUUGGGAAUGCAGCUCUAAAUGGGUGGUAAAUUCCAUCUAAAGCUAAAUAUUGGCGAGAGACCGAUAGCGAACAAGUACCGUGAGGGAAAGAUGAAAAGAACUUUGGAAAGAGAGUUAAACAGUAUGUGAAAUUGUUGAAAGGGAAACGUUUGAAGUCAGUCGCGUUAGCUGGGGAUCAGCCUGACAUUGUUGGGUGCACUUCCUGGUUGACGGGCCAACAUCAGUUUUGACUGCCAGAAAAAGGCCAAGGGAAUGUGGCACCUUUGGGUGUGUUAUAGCCUUUGGUCAUAUAUGGUGGUUGGGACUGAGGAAUGCAGUGUGCCGAAAGGCCGGGUUUCGACCACGUUCACACUGAGGAUGUUGGCAUAAUGGCUUUAAGCGACCCGUCUUGAAACACGGACCAAGGAGUCUAACAUGCAUGCGAGUGUUUGGGUGGAAAACCCUUACGCGUAAUGAAAGUGAAAGUUGAGAUCCCUGUCAUGGGGAGCAUCGACGCCCGGACCAGAACUUUUGGGACGGAUCUGCGGUAGAGCACGUAUGUUGGGACCCGAAAGAUGGUGAACUAUGCCUGAAUAGGGUGAAGCCAGAGGAAACUCUGGUGGAGGCUCGUAGCGAUUCUGACGUGCAAAUCGAUCGUCAAAUUUGGGUAUAGGGGCGAAAGACUAAUCGAACCAUCUAGUAGCUGGUUCCUGC
rnacentral:rRNA from 1 species